AACCAAGUGUGCCAGUGGCUACAGGCGUAAAUAAACCGGACUUAAAACUACCGGUAAGCGCAGAAUUCAACCAGUCAUCACUUACACUCAUAUGUAUGUGACGUCACAAUAAGGGUGAGUAAACCAGCUAUCUAGUGCUGCGUUUGUUCACUGUCUUACUAAAUGUACUCGGUGUACAUAGAUUAUACAGUUAAGAAAGCAUGAAUAGCUUGCUUACUACCGGUAUUUUCAAACGAUGUAAGUCUAUCAAAUAACGGCAUUGUUUAAACAAGUAACUGUACAGUCAUUUAUAUUUUGCCAGUUUUAUUAAACAGCAUUGUAGUAACAUUAGGCAUUAUUUGCCAGAACAAAAAUGAAGAAAUACGCUAAGAAAAUAUACACUGUAAUGUUACUGACAGUUUUUGCGCUUGGUGCUUGCAACUGCUUCAACUUAAGAAACUUUAAUUUAAUAGAAAGUAGUACAGCAGGUUUUCAGAAUGGGACCUACUUUGGACAGACAGUUAUUGUAAAAGCUAGUGCGAAUGGAACUGCCAAGUUGCUCAUAGGAGCACCGAAUUCCCGCCGAAACAACUUCGGCAGUUCACAAGGAGUUUUAUAUGGAAUAAAAUUCGCGGUUGCGAGCGGUAUUUAUGAUAUUGUCGCGAAAGACCCGGAAAAAAACGCACCCAUCGUGGUCACUAAUUUACGCAAAGAUGCAGAUGCUAUUGGAAUAAGUGUCAGUAACAGUAAAGAAGCAGUUACGGUGUGUGCUCCUAUGCGUUACAGGCACUGCCGUUCACACAACAUUGUAAGUGGGUCUUGUUUUAACAGUAAAGAUUUCGGCGAAAGUUGGCAAUCUGCAAAACCUACAGUGCCAUUUUGUUCCGACCAAGCACUAGAUCUAUUGUUCGUAUUAGAUGGCUCUUUCUCGGUGGGAGAAACGAACUUCGGUUUGGUAAAAAACUGGGUAGUAGCUCUUGCGAAAUCGUUUGACAUUGAGAAACAGGACAAUAUUGGAAUUAUUCAAUAUUCACAUUGGUAUCCCGGAGUCCCGUAUAGUCAACAGCCGUAUAUGAAAACAGAAGUUCCUUUGGGUUUGUACAAGAACUUCACAUUAUUUGAGAAAAUAGCUCAAAAUAUCAGCCUGCAAGGUUUCACCACCUACACUGCUCAUGCUCUUAAUAAAACUGUGCUUGAUUUCAUGGCAAGUGAAAGAUUCAUGCAUGAAAAUGUCACGAAAGUUAUGAUCUUGAUCACUGAUGGCAGGGCCGAUGAUGCGAUUGAUCUCUACUCAUCUGCCGAGUAUGUAAGAAGCCAAGGCAUUAUUACAUUUGCGAUCGGUAUUGGAAAUAGCGUAUUACGAGACCAGCUGCAGAUAGUUGCGAAUGGCAAGUUGGGUGAAGACACUCGUGUGUUUGAAGUAACGACGUUCACAAGUUUAAACAGCAUAUUAAGCUUACUUCGUUCUUCUAUUAAACAAAGUCUGGAAGGGGGUGAUAGUUUAAGCCAGUUAGAAUACGGAGAAAAUGGAUUUUCAAGUAACCAGCAAGCGGUACGGGCAUUGCUUUUAUACUAAAUUUUCUGUUUAUUUUAUUUUUUUAAUUUCCUUUGAAUUCGUUUUGUUCGUCAAAAAAGUAAACUGAAUCAAGUACAUAGAACAUCGCCGCCAUUGCUUUCAAUUUGUGACUUGCAAUCACAACAACUUGCAGUUCUGGAAUUGCAACCAACCGGUAACGGGUUCCAUGCUCGAUGAUGCAGAAUUUGUGGCGCGUAUGUCCUUGUGCGAGCUAUUUAAUGAAAAUUGCAUUGUAUAUUAGUCCAAAUUUCAGCCAUACCAAAACAAGUAAAAAAUAAGUGACCUAAAAAGUUACAAAGUGGUAACUCGCUAAUAGUUAUUUUAAUCCAAUUUUGUUAAAAUUUAAAAAAAGGUUAAAAAUACUUUGGUCACGUUUAAGCCACGUAUGUUUACCCCAUCUAUGCAGGUAUAUGCUUAUUGCGCACAUGGUAAGGAAAAUACACGACCAGUCAUAUCCCGUUGGUCAAACCGACCAGCACAUGGUACAUUACCUAAUAUGGCAGUUGAUGACAAACACUACUAUUACGUACAAUACGUAACCUGCAUAUUAUUUUGUUGCAGGAUAUGACGUGGCUUUUACACAAUUGCAAAGUGACGUCAUGGCGAGCUAUAAAUAGCUUUUCAGCAUUAUCAUAUAGUAUAGUAUAGUAUA